UACAGAGGUCUCAAGCGUUGUUCGGAAUCAUUGGGCGUAAAGCGCGUGUAGGCGGCCCGAUAAGUCCGCUGUGAAAGUCCAGGGCUCAACCCUGGGAUGCCGGUGGAUACUGUCGGGCUCGAGUCCGGAAGAGGCGAGUGGAAUUCCUGGUGUAGCGGUGAAAUGCGCAGAUAUCAGGAGGAACACCAAUGGCGAAGGCAGCUCGCUGGGACGUGACUGACGCUGAGACGCGAAAGCGUGGGGAGCAAACAGG
rnacentral:rRNA from 1 species